rnacentral:rRNA from 1 species
CCUACGGGAGGCAGCAGUGGGGAAUCUUGCGCAAUGCACGAAAGUGUGACGCAGCAACGCCGCGUGGAGGAAGAAGGCUCUCGGGUCGUAAACUCCUUUCAGUUGGGACGAAGCUUCGUCGGUUAAUAGCCGGCUGGAGUGACGGUACCUUCACAAGAAGCACCGGCUAACUACGUGCCAGCAGCCGCGGUAAUACGUAGGGUGCAAGCGUUGUCCGGAAUCAUUGGGCGUAAAGAGCGUGUAGGCGGCCCGAUUAGUCCGCUGUGAAAGUCCAGGGCUCAACCCUGGAAUGCCGGUGGAUACUGUCGGGCUCGAGUCCGGAAGAGGCGAGUGGAAUUCCUGGUGUAGCGGUGAAAUGCGCAGAUAUCAGGAAGAACACCAACGGCGAAGGCAGCUCGCUGGGACGGUACUGACGCUGAGACGCGAAAGCGUGGGGAGCAAACAGGAUUAGAUACCCUGGUAGUCCACGCCGUAAACGAUGGGUACUAGGUGUGGGGGUGUCGGACUCCCCCGUGCCGAAGCUAACGCAUUAGUACCCGCCUGGGGAGACGGCGCGAGAACGUAACGUACGAAGAAGUAGAGGCGUGAGACGNGCGACGGACGACGACGAGGGAGGAGG